rnacentral:rRNA from 1 species
UACGGAGGGGGCUAGCGUUGUUCGGAAUUACUGGGCGUAAAGCGCACGUAGGCGGACUGUUAAGUCAGGGGUGAAAUCCUGGAGCUCAACUCCAGAACUGCCUUUGAUACUGAGGAGCUUGGAGUCCGGGAGAGGCGAGUGGAACUGCGAGUGUAGAGGUGAAAUUCGUAGAUAUUCGCAAGAACACCAGUGGCGAAGGCGGCUCACUGGCCCGGUACUGACGCUGAGGUGCGAAAGCGUGGGGAGCAAACAGG